UACCUAACAGGUUCAUUUGGGGUUUCUUCCCCCUUUAAUUUAAAUGUUUUUAAAUUAUACAGUUGCACAUCAGGGGCUAAAGAUGGUUUUUUUUGUUUUUGUUUUGUUUUGUUUUUAUUUGAGACAGAUUCUCGCUUUGUCGCCCAGGCUGGAGUGCAGUGGCGCUAUCUCGGCACACUGCAGCCUCUGCCUCCCAGGUUCAAGCGAUUCUCCUGCCUCAGCCUUCGUAGCAGCUGGGACUGCUAAAGAUGUUUUGUCCCUCUGAUUUGCUUUCAUUCUUCAGGCUGAGGGCAAAAAGUCAAGCAUCAUAGGAUUCUAUUCCUACAAUUCCACUGCUCUUUUAUUUCCCUUAUUUGAGCAAAAGCUUUCUUAGCCUGGGGCCUAUUUUUCAUGCAGCUAAAACUUUUCUCCUUUUAGACAAAAGGAUUUUGUCAUUCCUGUUUCAGUAAAAACUUAUAUUAGAAUUUGUCAAAACUGCUUUCGUUUUGAUUAUCAGUCACGAUUAUCUCUACAAUAUAUAGUGCUUUCCUUGCCAGCAACAAGGAAAAAUAAACUAAUGAAGCCAGAGGGCUUAACUAUUUAAAUUUUAUCGUCUGGCUUUAAAGCAAGGCUCUACCGUCAUUCCCAGGGAUCAGUUAACCAGAGAGAGCCUUUAGAUCUUCAGCAAUGAACUCUUUAAUAUUCAGAUCUCGGACAAUAUUGCAGAAAGUCAAUGAAAGGCCAGAUGCAGUGACUCAUGCUUGUAAUCCCAGCACUUUGGAAGGCCGAGGUUGGAGCUGAGGUCAUUCAACACAGUGAAAGACAAGUGGGGAAAGGACAAUCUUUUCAAUAAAUGAUGCUGGAACAUUUGGAUAUCCA